AAUAGAUACCCGGGUAGUCCACGCCGUAAACGAUGGAUGCUAGCUGUUUAAUGCGUAUCGACCCGUGUAGUAGCGAAGCUAACGCGUUAAGCAUCCCGCCUGGGGAGUACGAACGCAAGUUUAAAACUCAAAGGAAUUGACGGGGACCCGCACAAGCGGUGGAGCGUGUUCUUUAAUUCGAGGCUAAGCGAAGAACCUUACCAGGGCUUGACAUCCUUGGAAUUUCUCCGAAAGGAGAGAGUACUUUAUUGGACCAAGUGACAGGUGCUGCAUGGCCGUCGUCAGCUCGUGUCGUGAGAUGUUUGGUUAAGUCCAUUAACGAGCGGAACCCUUAUGAAUAGUUGUAUUUUUCUAUUCAGACUGCCCCGGUAACGGGGGGAAGGGGGGAUGAUGUCAGGUCAGUAUUGCCCUUACGCCCUGGGCUAGAAACGCGCUACAAUGGCCGGUACAAUGCGCUGCCAACCCGCGAGGGGGAGCAAUCGCAUCAAAGCCGGUCCAGUUCGGAUAAGAGGCUGAAACUCGCUCUUGAAGCCGGAAUCGCUAGUAAUCGUAGGUCAGAAC
rnacentral:rRNA from 1 species